rnacentral:lncRNA from 1 species
UGAUAGAGAUAGCCUUAGAUAAAGCACAAUUGGGGCUACUUCAGCCUCUAAAUUGAAACAGUUCUGCUUCUGCCGGAAGCCUCAUUAAGAGGUAUUUAAUAAAUAGUAACGGUGAUCUUGCAACCAGUCAAAUUAUUUUCUGGUUCCAUCUGCAUUUCUCACCCUUUCAUCAGGCUUCUUCCUGGAGGGUGAAGAUACUAUGGCACCUCCAGAUUUUAGCGAAAUCUGCUCAACAUUUCCGCGUCCCUAUGAUGGAUCAGAGGCAUUCAGAUCUCUGCAAAGACAUCAGAGGAGGAACACAAAAUGUGUCUGCGUUGAUGUCACUGUGAUGAUUUUCAGUGCACAUGAGCUCUAGGCAGCUUUCAUAUUUCUGCAGGUUGAUGACAAGGAAGAAUAUAUAAGUUGCAGAAAACAGAAACCAACUCCAGCUAGCUAACAUGAAAGGAAUUUAUUGAUGGGACAGUCGGGUCCUGAAAUCUGAGAGUUUAAAUAAUCAGCAUUUGAAUGGGCCAGAUCCAGGCAACUCCAGGGACCUCAGAAAAAGAAAACCAUGGACCUUUUUUCUAGAACACUGACAUCCGUAUUACUCAUUUUGAGUGACCGGCAGUGCCAGAUGGACCAGCUCUGGCCAGGAAGGUAGGGUUGUGUGGUUUACACAUGUUUGCUAGAGGCCCCUCCUCUGUAUCAGGGCCAGCAAGGCAAGGGGAGUAUUGGGAGCUAAGACAUUUUUAAGGCUUUAAUGAGGUGUCAUUGUCAUAUAAUAAACUAUACAUAUUU